rnacentral:tRNA from 1 species
GCCGCUUUAGCUCAGUGGCAGAGCGUCUGUCUCGUAAACAGAAGGUCGCAGGUUCGAUCCCUGCAAGCGGCA